rnacentral:lncRNA from 1 species
UCAUCGCUAAUGGUUAUCGUGCGAUAAGACCAUUUCGGAGACCUUUGCUUACGAACAGACACACAGUUUUCCGUAUCCAAUGUAGUGCAGAGCUCGCCAAAGUUGGAAAUUAGCAUUGUGGAGGAAGAUCCAUUGUUCCAAUGGAAUUCGGUUCAUCUUCCUUGGCCGAUCGUAGCCCGGAUUUGAACCAUAUCGAGCAUAUAUGGGACACUAUUGGGCGGAAAGUGCGCAAAAGGACAACCCAGUUCAAACACAUCAUGAAAUAAACAAUGCCCUUCAUCAGAAAUGAUUGCUGCUACCUUAGCAACAAAUUAGUCGAUUUAUGGCAGGAAUCAGAAGACGUUUAGAUGCGGUUAUCCGUUUGAAUGGAGGCUGUGCACAAAGUACUAAUUCUUUGGCGUAUAACGAUCAACCAUGAUGUGAACAGUCAUCUGAAGAUUAAUUUUGAAAUGUCUGACAUUGUAAAGUUCGACUACAGUAAAAGUUGUAAAAUGCAUUUUUUUGUACAAAAAACACUUCAUUUUGUUAUUAAAAUUGUG